rnacentral:rRNA from 1 species
GAACGGGUGAGUAACACGUGGGCAAUCUGCCCUUCACUCUGGGACAAGCCCUGGAAACGGGGUCUAAUACCGGAUACGAGCCUCCAAGGCAUCUUGGAGGUUGGAAAGCUCCGGCGGUGAAGGAUGAGCCCGCGGCCUAUCAGCUUGUUGGUGAGGUAAUGGCUCACCAAGGCGACGACGGGUAGCCGGCCUGAGAGGGCGACCGGCCACACUGGGACUGAGACACGGCCCAGACUCCUACGGGAGGCAGCAGUGGGGAAUAUUGCACAAUGGGCGAAAGCCUGAUGCAGCGACGCCGCGUGAGGGAUGACGGCCUUCGGGUUGUAAACCUCUUUCAGCAGGGAAGAAGCGCAAGUGACGGUACCUGCAGAAGAAGCGCCGGCUAACUACGUGCCAGCAGCCGCGGUAAUACGUAGGGCGCAAGCGUUGUCCGGAAUUAUUGGGCGUAAAGAGCUCGUAGGCGGCUUGUCACGUCGAUUGUGAAAGCCCGAGGCUUAACCUCGGGUCUGCAGUCGAUACGGGCUAGCUAGAGUGUGGUAGGGGAGAUCGGAAUUCCUGGUGUAGCGGUGAAAUGCGCAGAUAUCAGGAGGAACACCGGUGGCGAAGGCGGAUCUCUGGGCCAUUACUGACGCUGAGGAGCGAAAGCGUGGGGAGCGAACAGGAUUAGAUACCCUGGUAGUCCACGCCGUAAACGGUGGGAACUAGGUGUUGGCGACAUUCCACGUCGUCGGUGCCGCAGCUAACGCAUUAAGUUCCCCGCCUGGGGGAGUACGGCCGCAAGGCUAAAACUCAAAGGAAUUGACGGGGCGCCCGCACAAGCGGCGG